rnacentral:rRNA from 1 species
AUUGAACGCUGGCGGCAGGCCUAACACAUGCAAGUCGAACGAGUGGCGGACGGGUGAGUAAUGUCUGGGAAACUGCCUGAUGGUGGGGGAUAACUACUGGAAACGGUAGCUAAUACCGCAUACCAUCGGAUGUGCCCUGAGGGGAUUAGCUAGUAGGUGGGGUAAAGGGGCACCUAGGCGCCGAUCCCUAGCCGGUCUGAGAGGAUGAACGGCCACACGGGAACUGAGAAACGGUCCAGACUCCUACGGGAGGCAGCAGUGGGGAAGAUUGUGCAAUUGGCGCAAGGCUGAUGCAGCGAUGCCGCGUGUAUGAAGAAGGCCUUCGGGUUGUAAAGUUCUUGCAGUGGGGAGGCGUUACCCGCAGAAGAAGCACCGGCUAACUCCGUGCCAGCAGCCGCGGUAAUAC